rnacentral:rRNA from 1 species
AAAUUGAAGAGUUUGAUCAUGGCUCAGAUUGAACGCUGGCGGCAGGCCUAACACAUGCAAGUCGAACGGUAGCACAGAGAGCUUGCUCUCGGGUGACGAGUGGCGGACGGGUGAGUAAUGUCUGGGAAACUGCCUGAUGGAGGGGGAUAACUACUGGAAACGGUGGCUAAUACCGCAUAACGUCGCAAGACCAAAGAGGGGGACCUUCGGGCCUCUUGCCAUCAGAUGUGCCCAGAUGGGAUUAGCUUGUUGGUGAGGUAACGGCUCACCAAGGCGACGAUCCCUAGCUGGUCUGAGAGGAUGACCAGCCACACUGGAACUGAGACACGGUCCAGACUCCUACGGGAGGCAGCAGUGGGGAAUAUUGCACAAUGGGCGCAAGCCUGAUGCAGCCAUGCCGCGUGUAUGAAGAAGGCCUUCGGGUUGUAAAGUACUUUCAGCGGGGAGGAAGGUGUUGUGGUUAAUAACCGCAGCAAUUGACGUUACCCGCAGAAGAAGCACCGGCUAACUCCGUGCCAGCAGCCGCGGUAAUACGGAG